rnacentral:rRNA from 1 species
UACAGAGGCCUCAAGCGUUAGGCGGAAUCACUGGGCUUAAAGCGCGUGUAGGCGGACCGUUAAGUACCUUGUGAAAUCCCACGGCUCAAACCGUGGAAACUGCUGGGUAUACUGGCGGUCUUGGGCCACUCAGGGGUUGCCGGAACAAGCGGUGGAGCGGUGAAAUGCGUAGAUAUCGCUUGGAACGCCAAAGGUGAAGACAG